CAGCAUCUGGUUGGUGCCGUGCAACCCUCAGGUCCGUUUGCUUCUGCUUGCCGAGCCUGACCCGUCUCGGCGUCGGCACCCAUGUUUCUGUGACGUGUGGGUGUUUCCCAGAAGGGGGGGGCAGGCCAGUGGGUGAGAGAGCCGAGGCUUUAUGCCGGUUCAUACGGGGACGUGCAGCGAGCGGUCAGUGUAAUUCAGAGGAAAGAGAAGAGGUGGGGCAAGCCGACGGUCUUUGCAUCGCUCGCAGGCCGCGGAAGCCAGCUGGGCUGUGUCCUGGAGGGCUCCAGGGUGUCGGGCGGUGGGAGACGGGGGUCAGCACCGUUGCUGUCGGCAGGACGCCCCCGACUCCAUCUGGGAAUCGCAGAGCCUCAUUUAGAUCCACCACUCAGCUCGGGACAGAGCAGGUGCAGGAUUCACGCCAAAUGUGUAAAUACCUUGUGUGGGUCUGGUGUCCCGGAACUUUUUUCUUAGAAGUCAACAAAGAAGAACGGCAAGAAGACUUUGAGGAAGAGGAGCCCAGCGUUCUGUCGCGACAGACACCCUUCUCGGAGGAACGGGCGCACGCUCCAGUUUGCAGGACUGUCCGGGUGUCUCGCCCAGGUGUGCGAUGGGCAGUGGCGGAGGCGGCGGGGGCAGGCACAGCCCUGCUCUGAGGAAGCGUUCUCUGUGAGGAGACGCCUGCUCGGCUGCGGGGAGGCUGCGUGUCCUUUCUCUCGGAACCUGCUGUUGACGGCUGCAGGCUUGUCGGCCCCGACUCUCGGGCAGUUCACACACGUUCUGGACUCCCUGGGACUCGGACUCCGCGGAAACAAGCCCAGCUCUUCCUCCGAAGUCGGGCUCCUGGCGGCGUCGAUGGCCGUGGUGGGAUCCGGACCGGACGCCUACGAUGCUCUUCAGAAGGUUUCGAUACAUUACCUUACACAAGCUGUGGCCUGACGCCAGUAAUUACCUCACAUGUGGGCAUUCAGCCUGGUCUUAGCCUUUUCUGAAAUCCUGUAGCCAGCUUGAUCUUGGGAACUCAACGACUAUGAAUUAAUUCUGUGUGGGCUGAAAAUAAUGCCGCGUGCACACCCUGACCACUGUAGCUGAAGUGAAUUGGGAAAGUAGUUCAUCAAACCCAGGAGAAGGUGUUGCGGUCGAAGGUGACGUUCAAAUGCACGUGUGAAGUACAGAUGUUUUUAGCUACUGUGAAAUGCUGUUAGCCUUCUAAGGUAUCAAGAGAGUCACAUUUGAAACGCGCAGACUGAAUAACCCUGGAUACGUAAGCAUACUUCUGGCUAUGUUUCAUAGUUAACGUGUUUUGUAGUUUACAUUUAAACUGGUACUUUUAUACGAAGUUCUGUUUCUAACGGAUGUCUUCAGACCGCGGUGGCUGCCUCUGUGGCUGGGGCCAGGUCUGCCCGGGGCAGGUGUGUCCGUAGCCCAACGCGAGAGGAUGUGCAGGGACGGCCCAGAGUAGGCGGGGUUGAGCGGGGAGCCGGAGCCGGGGCGAAGCUCUCGCGCCUCGUGUGUCAGCUCUGUCUCCAGGGCCUCUCUGACAUCGGGAAGAGGCCGCAGAAGGCAGCGAGAGCAGACCCCUGGCCCGUUGGCUUUUCCCUUGAUUUGAUACUGACAGAUCCGUGAACUCCCAGUCAGCAGGCAGAAGACACUGGG
ensembl:lncRNA